rnacentral:rRNA from 1 species
UACGAAGGGUGCAAGCGUUAAUCGGAAUUACUGGGCGUAAAGCGUGCGUAGGUGGUUUGUUAAGUCUGUUGUGAAAUCCCCGGGCUCAACCUGGGAAUGGCAAUGGAUACUGGCAAGCUAGAGUGUGUCAGAGGAUGGUGGAAUUCCCGGUGUAGCGGUGAAAUGCGUAGAGAUCGGGAGGAACAUCAGUGGCGAAGGCGGCCAUCUGGGACAACACUGACGCUGAGGCACGAAAGCGUGGGGAGCAAACAGG